rnacentral:rRNA from 1 species
CUGCAGAUUGCAAAGGAGGAAUCAAAAGCAGUUGCAGGAGCAAGCGCCAUGAAAGCAAUUAAUCAGUGAAUGGAGAAAGAUAUUCAUGAAGUGGGGAGAACUGCUCCUAUGGCAAAAACAGAAGUUGAUGAACUGGAAAAGAUGAGCGUGUCUAACUGGCAGAAACCUGGAUGCGGGAAGGGGUCUGCGGUAGAUCGAUCAAGGGAACAGACUACUGGAGCAGUGAAAAAGAAAUUGAAGGAACGGAUGGACGAUUUUCAGGUAUUGAGAGAAACAAUCAUGCAGGAGUACUGGGAAGUUGUCGAAAGAAGGGUAUUUACUGUAACUGGUAAUCGCCCUGAUGAAGAGACAAUUGACGAUUUAAUCGAGACAGGGUGAAGCGAGCAAAUUUUGAAAGAUGCGGUUCAACAGCAGGGGAGAGGCCAGAUAUUGGAUGCUGCUGCUGAGAUACAGGCGCGGCAUGAUGCUGUAAGAGAUCUAGAGAGCAGGCUUCUGGAGUUGCAGCAGAUAUUCCUGGAUAUGGCAGUAUUGGUUGAGUCUCAAGGAAACAUGAUCUAUAGAGACACAUAGGUUUCAAAUGCUACUGAUCACAUACAGCAAGGUGUGGGUGCUCUCCAGGCAAAGAAGCUGCAGAAAAACUCGAGAAAGUGGUUAGCAUCGUGGUCGGGAUUAAACAGCCAUGGAAGAAGUAACCCUUGA